AAAAUCUAAUGGUUCCUUGUGUACAAGUAGUCAGCACACCGGUUGAUAUGGUCAUAUCAGUCAGUGCCUGAACUUAUGCUCUAACCAAUACGCAGGCCUUUGCCGUCUCUCGUCUCGAGCUUCUCGCUCACAACCAAUCACGUUCUUCUGGAGGUCACUAGUUCUUAAUUGAUUUCAGCUGCGUCUCCCCCGCCUCUCCUCAUAAAGCGCCCCCACCGUGACGGAUUUUAAUCGUUUAUUUUGUGUUGGAUUGCGUGGGCUGAACAAUCCGGACAUCGUGGCCACCGACGUUGACCCCCCGCCACCGGGACCCACGCACACCGACCACCACACUGGGAAGUGUCCUCUGCUCACUGUGGAAGCAGCAUGGAAGAACUGCAGCAACUCUGAUGGAAACGAGGACCUCCACGCUGUUGAACACAAACUGUUCUAGGCCUACUACAAACCGAGGCGGUCCCACUCGGUUAAAGAUCUCGUGGUCAAUGCGGCAGACCGCUGGACCUGGACGUCACCUUCUGCAGAUACUUCACUGCCCUCAAGAAUCCACGGAUAACUUGAAACAUGUCCGACUCCACAUGUCCGAAAAAAAUCCAGGAUGGAAACUUGUGGAAGGAAGGAAGGGUUCUGUUUUUGCUCAACCCAUAACCCCACUGAGCCCUUCUGUGGAAACCUGUCUGACUGACCCUACUGACUGGGGGCCUGUUGUGUAUUUGGUUGGUCUGGUAGAAGGUUUGCUGCUUGUGAUCUGCAAGGUGGUCCUGGGUUAGAUGCGGUGUCUGACUUGCACACCACUCUCCCAAUUCUAUUUUUCUCUUUACUACUUUUCUACUUUCAAUACUUGCUGCUGUUGACCGCUGGUGGUGCAAUGUGGUUUUUAUUCGCGUAUGUUCUGUGGACUUUGCAUUUGUAUUUUAAUGAACAUGUUUACUGCCUGUUAGACCUCGGAUUGGCAAACCUAAACUCCUUCACUGGCAAAAUGUAGAUGCAAAUUAAAUGCCGAAAUUAAAAUUUCAAUAUUCGUUUUGCGUAUUUCACCAAUGGCUUCGGAACUAGACGGACCUCGUAUAUAAUUUGCUCUUCAAAGAUGCGGUCAGGCGCCCCUCCGUUAUAUAACGUUUUCUGCCCGGUACGAAAUAGACCAACCAAUAGCAACCCUUUAGGCUAUCUAAUGUGAUGUUGGAUAUAUGCAACAUGUAGAGGUGUUUCAACAACAAAGAUGGAAGUUGGGGAACUAAAGACUGUAUAUGCUCACUAAAAGAACGUCUACUAAAAGAUUUUGAGGAAUAUGCAUUUCUGCAUCACCCGUUCCAAUGCUAUGAUUAGUCGAGGCCUAUCCAAUAGCUUAGCAUCGACCCAUUUUAGAUCGCGCCCUUUAGACACGCCCCUUGGAAAUUGAACCGCACUUCAACGCAGAGGAUCCAGAAGGAUUUCACAACGAGUCCAUUGGAAGAUAUCGAGGAACAUGAACAUCAUCACCAAUGAAGGAGAGUAACGUUUCCACUUGCUAUAGGAAUUUAGUGAAGCACUAAAUAGUUAAUAAUAAUAAUGAUAAAAUGUGGUCACCAUUUAUUGACUUUUUGGGUAAGACUUGCUUUACUAAUAUAACCGCUUUAAAACCGCAUUCAUUUACUUUUCUUGUGUAGUUUCCCACUAUUCAUUAAAUGUUUUAUAGAAGUAAAAAAGUAAUCAAUAGAACUAUACACAUUUGUACAACAAUUAAUCAUUAUAGAGGAUUUGAACAUUUUCUAUUCGAGCUCAUGCUUCAUAAUAUUUCCAAGGAUUGCAGAGUACCAAAUGAUUUAUGAACAGUUGUCUUUGUUCAGGAGCGGAUUGUACUCCCAGAGGCUUCAACAGAGCGGGUCUUGAGCUGGGAGCUGCAGGUGGAUGGUGGCCAGGAGCCUUUCAGUCCUACAGGAACAGACGGUAGAGGUGAUGGAGGCGGUCGUCUGGAGGUCCGUGGCGGUCGUCUGGAGGUCCGUGGCGGUCGUCUGGAGGUCCGUGGCGGUCGUCUGGAGGUCCGUGGCGGUCGUCUGGAGGUCGUCUGGAGGUCCGUGGCGGUCGUCUGGAGGUCCGUGGCGGUCGUCUGGAGGUCCGUGGCGGUCGUCUGGAGGCGCCUGCUGCAGGUGGAGGGAAGGCCGGAGCCGUGCAGCCCAACGGAUGCAGAACGAAGGACUGAGGCGGAGGUCCUGGAGGCGGCGGUGGCCUGGAGGUCCUGGAAGCGUCCAACCUGGAAGGGGCGGCAUGGUGGGCCAGGUGGCGGCUCCUCAUCCAAAGGGCCUGGAGGCAGCCAACCUGGAAGGCCUGGAGACGGCGGCGGGCCUGGAGGUGGACGCCAACCUGGAGGUCCUGGAGUCGGUGGGCCUGGAGGCGGUGGUUGGGACCAACCUGGAGGGCCUGGAGGCGGUGGUUGGGACCAACCUGGAGGUCCUGGCGGUGGCGUCCACCUGGCGGCGGUCAGCCUGGAGGGCCCGGCGGCGGCGACCGUCCUGGAGGGCCCGGCGGCG
ensembl:lncRNA